AGGAUCCCGAGACCGGGCCGCUCGUGCGAAGCGCUUCCGUGCCACCCGACGCAUUUGUUUCCCGUCCGAAGGACGCCGCAACCGGUUGGGAGACGGCCUUAAGGGCGAGAGCUGGCAGGUGGCCGGUGGCGGGGACUCGCGUCUCCGUCGCCGGUUGUUAGCCGUCUCGUCGCACGGCCCGUAGCCCGACCGUGGUGUCGCGAGGCCCCUCAUGGGCCUCUCCGCCUCCUCCUGAAAAGGUAGCGAGUAAGAACCCGGCAGGAGUUCGACCCCMUGCGGGCGCACGGACCGACUCCGUGGCCCAGCGUCGCGGUCGUCUUCGUUGGCCGGGACGGGCUCGUCGGAGUGUCGGCGGUUGGCGGCGAGUAGAUCGGUCACCCACCCGACCCGUCUUGAAACACGGACCAAGGAGUCUAACAUGUGUGCGAGUCAAUGGGUCUCGAAUAAGCCCAGAGGCGCAAUGAAAGCAAAGGCCGGAUUGACAUCCGUGCCGCGUUGGGAUCCCCGCUCCYCCGCGGGCGGGGCGCACCAACGACCCGUCCUGUUCCACUUGUGGAUUGGGCGGAGUCCGAGCAUACACGUUGGGACCCGAAAGAUGGUGAACUAUGCCCGGGCAGGACGAGGCCAGAGGAAACUCUGGUGGAGGUCCGUAGCGGUUCUGACGUGCAAAUCGAUCGUCAGAUCCGGGU
rnacentral:rRNA from 1 species